CCCAGCGCUGAAGCGCUGGGCUAGGUUCGGCCGUUCCUCCGGAACC
rnacentral:sRNA from 1 species